rnacentral:misc_RNA from 1 species
GAUGAAGAACGCAGCGAAAUGCGAUAAGUAAUGCGAAUUGCAGAAUUUCCGUGAGUCAUCGAAUCUUUGAACGCACAUUGCGCCCGCUGGUACUCCGGCGGGCACGCCUGUCCGAGCGUCAUUUCAACCCUCAAGCCCUCCUUCGGGAUGGGCCUGGUGUUGGGGCUCGGCCGCCAUCUCCGGCGGCCGUCCCCUAAAUACAGUGGCGGUCACGUCGCGACUCCUUUGCGUAGUAGAAACACCUCGCUCCGGAUAGCAACGCGGUCCACGCCGUAAAAUCCCCAAUUUUCAAUGGUUGACCUCGGAUCAGGUGGGAAUACCCGCUGAACUUAAGCAUAUCAAUAAGCGGAGGA